AUUGAACGCUGGCGGCAGGCCUAACACAUGCAAGUCGAGCGCGCGGCGGACGGGUGAGUAAUGUCUGGGAAACUGCCUGCUGGAGGGGGGUAAAUCCUGGAAACGGUAGCUAAUACCGCAUACCAUCAGAUUUGCCCAGAUGGGUUUAGCUGGUGGGUGGGGUAACGGCUCACCUAGGCGACGAUCCCUAGCUGGUCUGCGAGGAUGCGCCGCCACACUGGAACUGAGACACGGUCCAGACUCCUACGGGAGGCAGCAGUGGGGAAUAUUGGACAAUGGGGGCAAGCCUGAUGCAGCCAUGCCGCGUGUGUGAAGAAGGCCUUCGGGUUGUAAAGCACUUUCAGCGGGGAGGCGUUACCCGCAGAAGAAGCACCGGCUAACUCCGUGCCAGCAGCCGCGGUAAUUC
rnacentral:rRNA from 1 species